GUUCAACUAUUGAGGAAAACGUGAAUAACGACGUAGAGUCGGUUUCCUCCGGGUGAUAGUAAAUCGGAGAUUUUGAAGUAAGGUGGCAGAGGAUUAAUUCUUGGCAUGUAAGAUUGGUGAAGCCCGAGACCUAAGUUAUGGUUAACUUAAGAAACUGACAAGGUACAGAUGACAGAUUUGCUGAACCGCCUGCCUAGGACAUCUAUUCUGCUAUUUUGGGAGUGCUCUUUUGUCCAGAGCCUAUAUGUUGGUACAGUCUGCUGUUAUUGUAUAUAUGUAUGCUAUUCAAGGGUAUGACGGGGCCCUGUCCCGUCUUAUGAUUCUGUUAUGAUCUGUAGAGGUCUGUAGACAUACUUGUGUGGGUUCUGUAUAUGUUUUGGGUUGUUAUGAUCGGUGAUGGCCUUAUCGGCCUCUACGUGCAAAAUCUGUUCAUCUGUGAUAUUUAGUAGCGCCAACUAACCUUUAUAUUAAUAUAUUUUGAUAA